rnacentral:ncRNA from 1 species
UUCUUCGGGGCAGGGUGCAAUUCCCUACCGGUGGUAAAAGGUAGCCCGCCCUCUCAAACGGAGGAGCACUGCCGGCGGUUAUAGUCCGCGAGCCGUAUAAAGCGGUUGAAUUGGUGCAAUUCCAAUACCGACAGUAUAGUCUGGAUGAGAGAAGAA